rnacentral:rRNA from 1 species
GGUUAAGCGACUAAGCGUACACGGUGGAUGCCCUGGCAGUCAGAGGCGAUGAAGGACGUGCUAAUCUGCGAUAAGCGUCGGUAAGGUGAUAUGAACCGUUAUAACCGGCGAUUUCCGAAUGGGGAAACCCAGUGUGAUUCGUCACACUAUCAUUAACUGAAUCCAUAGGUUAAUGAGGCGAACCGGGGGAACUGAAACAUCUAAGUACCCCGAGGAAAAGAAAUCAACCGAGAUUCCCCCAGUAGCGGCGAGCGAACGGGGAGCAGCCCAGAGCCUGAAUCAGUGUGUGUGUUAGUGGAAGCGUCUGGAAAGGCGUGCGAUACAGGGUGACAGCCCCGUACACAAAAAUGCACAUACUGUGAGCUCGAUGAGUAGGGCGGGACACGUGGUAUCCUGUCUGAAUAUGGGGGGACCAUCCUCCAAGGCUAAAUACUCCUGACUGACCGAUAGUGAACCAGUACCGUGAGGGAAAGGCGAAAAGAACCCCGGCGAGGGGAGUGAAAAAGAACCUGAAACCGUGUACGUACAAGCAGUGGGAGCACGCUUAGGCGUGUGACUGCGUACCUUUUGUAUAAUGGGUCAGCGACUUAUAUUCUGUAGCAAGGUUAACCGAAUAGGGGAGCCGAAGGGAAACCGAGUCUUAACUGGGCGUUAAGUUGCAGGGUAUAGACCCGAAACCCGGUGAUCUAGCCAUGGGCAGGUUGAAGGUUGGGUAACACUAACUGGAGGACCGAACCGACUAAUGUUGAAAAAUUAGCGGAUGACUUGUGGCUGGGGGUGAAAGGCCAAUCAAACCGGGAGAUAGCUGGUUCUCCCCGAAAGCUAUUUAGGUAGCGCCUCGUGAAUUCAUCUCCGGGGGUAGAGCACUGUUUCGGCAAGGGGGUCAUCCCGACUUACCAAGCCGAUGCAAACUGCGAAUACCGGAGAAUGUUAUCACGGGAGACACACGGCGGGUGCUAACGUCCGUCGUGAAGAGGGAAACAACCCAGACCGCCAGCUAAGGUCCCAAAGUCAUGGUUAAGUGGGAAACGAUGUGGGAAGGCCCAGACAGCCAGGAUGUUGGCUUAGAAGCAGCCAUCAUUUAAAGAAAGCGUAAUAGCUCACUGGUCGAGUCGGCCUGCGCGGAAGAUGUAACGGGGCUAAACCAUGCACCGAAGCUGCGGCAGCGACGCUUAUGCGUUGUUGGGUAGGGGAGCGUUCUGUAAGCCUGUGAAGGUGUGCUGUGAGGUAUGCUGGAGGUAUCAGAAGUGCGAAUGCUGACAUAAGUAACGAUAAAGCGGGUGAAAAGCCCGCUCGCCGGAAGACCAAGGGUUCCUGUCCAACGUUAAUCGGGGCAGGGUGAGUCGACCCCUAAGGCGAGGCCGAAAGGCGUAGUCGAUGGGAAACAGGUUAAUAUUCCUGUACUUGGUGUUACUGCGAAGGGGGGACGGAGAAGGCUAUGUUGGCCGGGCGACGGUUGUCCCGGUUUAAGCGUGUAGGCUGGUUUUCCAGGCAAAUCCGGAAAAUCAAGGCCGAGGCGUGAUGACGAGGCACUACGGUGCUGAAGCAACAAAUGCCCUGCUUCCAGGAAAAGCCUCUAAGCAUCAGGUAACAUCAAAUCGUACCCCAAACCGACACAGGUGGUCAGGUAGAGAAUACCAAGGCGCUUGAGAGAACUCGGGUGAAGGAACUAGGCAAAAUGGUGCCGUAACUUCGGGAGAAGGCACGCUGAUACGUAGGUGAAGCGACUUGCUCGUGGAGCUGAAAUCAGUCGAAGAUACCAGCUGGCUGCAACUGUUUAUUAAAAACACAGCACUGUGCAAACACGAAAGUGGACGUAUACGGUGUGACGCCUGCCCGGUGCCGGAAGGUUAAUUGAUGGGGUUAGCGCAAGCGAAGCUCUUGAUCGAAGCCCCGGUAAACGGCGGCCGUAACUAUAACGGUCCUAAGGUAGCGAAAUUCCUUGUCGGGUAAGUUCCGACCUGCACGAAUGGCGUAAUGAUGGCCAGGCUGUCUCCACCCGAGACUCAGUGAAAUUGAACUCGCUGUGAAGAUGCAGUGUACCCGCGGCAAGACGGAAAGACCCCGUGAACCUUUACUAUAGCUUGACACUGAACAUUGAGCCUUGAUGUGUAGGAUAGGUGGGAGGCUUUGAAGUGUGGACGCCAGUCUGCAUGGAGCCGACCUUGAAAUACCACCCUUUAAUGUUUGAUGUUCUAACGUGGACCCGUGAUCCGGGUUGCGGACAGUGUCUGGUGGGUAGUUUGACUGGGGCGGUCUCCUCCUAAAGAGUAACGGAGGAGCACGAAGGUUGGCUAAUCCUGGUCGGACAUCAGGAGGUUAGUGCAAUGGCAUAAGCCAGCUUGACUGCGAGCGUGACGGCGCGAGCAGGUGCGAAAGCAGGUCAUAGUGAUCCGGUGGUUCUGAAUGGAAGGGCCAUCGCUCAACGGAUAAAAGGUACUCCGGGGAUAACAGGCUGAUACCGCCCAAGAGUUCAUAUCGACGGCGGUGUUUGGCACCUCGAUGUCGGCUCAUCACAUCCUGGGGCUGAAGUAGGUCCCAAGGGUAUGGCUGUUCGCCAUUUAAAGUGGUACGCGAGCUGGGUUUAGAACGUCGUGAGACAGUUCGGUCCCUAUCUGCCGUGGGCGCUGGAGAACUGAGGGGGGCUGCUCCUAGUACGAGAGGACCGGAGUGGACGCAUCACUGGUGUUCGGGUUGUCAUGCCAAUGGCACUGCCCGGUAGCUAAAUGCGGAAGAGAUAAGUGCUGAAAGCAUCUAAGCACGAAACUUGCCCCGAGAUGAGUUCUCCCUGACCCUUUAAGGGUCCUGAAGGAACGUUGAAGACGACGACGUUGAUAGGCCGGGUGUGUAAGCGCAGCGAUGCGUUGAGCUAACCGGUACUAAUGAACCGUGAGGCUUAACCUU